GUGAGGAAUAUUGGUCAAUGGGAGGAAUCCUGAACCAGCCAUGCCGCGUGCAGGACGACGGCUCUACGAGUUGUAAACUGCUUUUGUACCGGGGUAAAAUGCCUUACGAGUAGGGUUUUGAAAGUACGGUACGAAUAAGGAUCGGCUAACUCCGUGCCAGCAGCCGCGGUAAUACGGAGGAUCCGAGCGUUAUCCGGAUUCAUUGGGUUUAAAGGGUGCGUAGGUUGUUUUAUAAGUUAGCGGUGAAAUACCGAUGCUCAACAUCGGGGCUGCCGCUGAUACUGUAGGACUAGAGAUCGGAUGCAGCAGGCGGAAUGUGUAGUGUAGCGGUGAAAUGCAUAGAUAUUACACAGAACACCGAUUGCGAAGGCAGCUUGCUAGGCCGGAUCUGACACUGAUGCACGAAAGCGUGGGGAUCGAACAGGA
rnacentral:rRNA from 1 species